GCCCCAGGCGGCAGAGCCUCCCUCGCAGGAAGUGCAGGGGCAGCCCGCCCCCUCCUUCCUCGCCUACCUUAGUGCUCUUUACUGAGAUGCAGAAGGAAGACGGAAGAUGCGGGCUUGGAAAGAAAUACGAGUGCAGUUCUGGCCACUCUAAGACUGGGAUUUUUUCCAGCCGACCCAGACAUGUCGGGAAGGGGAAGGCUUCUGGUGCUCGUUGAAGAAGCCGGCUGGCUCUAGGUAGAAGUUAAGGGUCAUCUGUUAUGUUUCUCUGCUAUCCGCAUUAUUUCCACUGCAUCUAAACAAGUCCAGACUCUGCAGGGAGAAUUUGUUUCCAACAAGCAACGAGGAGAAGACACUAGAUCACGUUUCAGUAUAAACUGAGCUGGAUUCACGAAAGCCCUUUGCCCUGCUGAUCCUGCCCUGGCUGGAGUCCCCCUGGGAGGGCCCUUGCUGUGCUGUCUGCAACCAAGCAGUCACCCAGCUGUGACUCAGCCAGGACAGCUGAGGUGAUCCCCUGGGCCAAUCCCUGGACCUGCUGCUUUCAGCCCAACUCGGAAGAGGAGAAGGAAACCACCACCGGGAUGAGUAAACUUGCCUCUGGAGGAGGAAGGAGGGAGGAGUGAUGCCAGGGCAAAGGACUCAGACUCGGUUUCACUAUCUGGAAAAUCGGAGGCAGAUCCACUUUGAGAAUGGAAAUGGCCAUCACGUGAAAUGCAUGGCCUUUGCUAACUUGAAAGAUUUUGAAGUUCUAGAACCGUAUACACUAAGGAGUGGUGAUUCCCAGGAUGUGUUCAGUGCUUAGCCCAGCUCUGACACAGAGACUGCCCGGCUUGCCCAGCCUCAAGACCCGGCAGGCUGCUGACCCUCCUCCUCGGAGGGACACCUAGAGAAGGUUGAUGAUGUGUAAGGCUAAACAAUGACAACUCCUCGACUGUCAGAACUUUUCUCUACAUAGAAAAGCGACGAGAAUGAUCUAAGCCGCCCUAUUCCAGCUGGAAAUCUCCAUCCUUCUAUCCAGUGACAAUAACAAUCCUGGGAAUUCUGAAGUUUUCCAGAUUAACUACCUACACAAUUGAAAGGGCUCUGCAAGGGGGAGGGGAGACAGGAUGGUGACCGACCGCCCCUCUUCACCUGAGUCUCAUGAAACAAUACAGCCAGGCCUGCAGGACCCAGGUCUCUAAGAAGCAGCCCUCACACCUCGGAAGAACAUUAACAUCACACCUGAGCAAAAUGACAUGCACCUACGAGGAGCAUCAAAGAUGAUGGAGCAUCCACAUCGCCUCCUCUGGUACCCAUGGGAACGCUGCCUCAGUAAACCUCUGGCCUCUCUCUCCACCCUUCGUCCCUUCCGUUCUGUGGAAGGAAGUACAGAGCUGUGACUCAACUGCUCCUUUCUGGUGUGACGAUCACGCCACACUCAACAAAACCACAUUCGGUGCCACCUUCAUACUUGAGCUCCGGAUGGCACCCGCCUCUCUGGAAGGAACGACCCACAACCUGAAAGGUGAGGCCAAACCACUCUCUAAUAACAAAAGCUGUUUAACCUGCAAAAGAAAACCCAUUGAGGGGGGAACAGGAGAUGGAAAAAUGGCGGCCUAAUGCGAGGAUAGGAUCAUAUCUGCCCGCAGAUUCCAAAGGAUCUGAAGGAUGAAAGUAGGUGGAUUUGUGAUCGUGAUAAAAAGACCGAAGGAGACAGGUAAGGCGUGUACAGAGACCGUCUGGGCUGCGUCUGGAGCCUGGGAGCUCCCAGCUGGAUCCCCACUUGGAACAGGGCUGUGGAGGAUUCUGAACGGGAGUCAGAUCCAGAGUGAACUGCCGGAUCUUUCGCAUAACCAGUUUGAGAAUUCUGGGCUUAGCCUCGCUGUGUCCCACCCGAGCAGCCCGCAGAGGAAUGGUGGUCUGUGUAGAGGUGGGCAGGUCGGGCUCAAGACGCUGCCACCUGAUUCUUCGGCUCCUGGAGUGAAUUAGCUGCUCUCCACCUCCACCCCGCCCCCCAAAGAGGAUGACCUGGUUCUAGGGAAGCUCUAUGUUGGGUAAAACAGAGGUGAACGAGGCUUCUGCCCCAAGAGGAGAAAAGGGCCAGGGACACUCUGUCUAAAGGGAUUCUGAGAGCAAGCUGGUUCCAAAAGCUAAUUCUGAGUUUUAGAUCUGCACCUGGUCCAGCGCUCAGGUUGCAUCUGUAAGGUAACCCAUGUCCCCAGAGGGAAAGUGGCCCUCCCCAAGCUCCACACUAAAGUUGAUCUGGGGGACUUCCCUGGUGGCACAGUGGUUAAGAAUCUGCCUGCCAAUGCAGGUGACACGGGUUCAAGCCCUGGUCCGGGAAGAUCCCACA